rnacentral:rRNA from 1 species
GUGGGGAAUAUUGGACAAUGGGCGAAAGCCUGAUCCAGCCAUGCCGCGUGUGUGAAGAAGGUCUUCGGAUUGUAAAGCACUUUAAGUUGGGAGGAAGGGCAGUAAGUUAAUACCUUGCUGUUUUGACGUUACCGACAGAAUAAGCACCGGCUAACUUCGUGCCAGCAGCCGCGGUAAUACGAAGGGUGCAAGCGUUAAUCGGAAUUACUGGGCGUAAAGAGCGCGUAGGUGGUUUUGUAAGUUGGAGGUGAAAUCCCCGGGCUCAACCUGGGAACUGCCUCCAAAACUGCAUGACUAGAGUACGGUAGAGGGUAGUGGAAUUUCCUGUGUAGCGGUGAAAUGCGUAGAUAUAGGAAGGAACACCAGUGGCGAAGGCGACUACCUGGACUGAUACUGACACUGAGGUGCGAAAGCGUGGGGAGCAAACAGGAUUAGAUACCCUAGUAGUCC